rnacentral:rRNA from 1 species
AUACGUAGGGUGCAAGCGUUAAUCGGAAUUACUGGGCGUAAAGCGUGCGCAGGCGGUUUUGUAAGACAGUGGUGAAAUCCCCGGGCUCAACCUGGGAACUGCCAUUGUGACUGCAAGGCUGGAGUGCGGCAGAGGGGGAUGGAAUUCCGCGUGUAGCAGUGAAAUGCGUGGAUAUGCGGAGGAACACCGAUGGCGAAGGCAAUCCCCUGGGCCUGCACUGACGCUCAUGCACGAAAGCGUGGGGAGCAAACAGGAUUAGAUACCCUGGUAGUCCACGCCCUAAACGAUGUCAACUGGUUGUUGGGGAUUUAUUUUCUCAGUAACGAAGCUAACGCGUGAAGUUGACCGCCUGGGGAGUACGGCCGCAAGGUUAAAACUUAAAGGAAUUGACGGGG